rnacentral:rRNA from 1 species
AAACCGUUGAAAGGGAAGCGAAUGGAGUUAGCAAUUCGCCCUGCCAGAUUCAGUUGCUCGCGCUUCGCGACGUGCGCGCUCUCGAUCCGCAUGGACGAGACGUGUGCGGGUGCGAUGUGUGGACGGCGCACUUCUGGCGAGCGAGCGUCAGCGUCGGUUGUCGGCGGGCGACAAGGAUGCAAGGAAGGUGGACUGGUCUUUAUGACCGGUUGUUAAGCCUUGUGCUCGUAUAGCUCGACGGCGACCGUGGCUCUGCGACGCGUGCCUGGCUGGUGACCCGAACGUUCGGUCCGGCAUGUCGACCGUAGCGGACGGCACGCCUGUGCGCUCAAACUGCUGCCGGCCGAUCGGAUGGUGUUCGCACACUACGCGUCUAAGAUGCUGACGACCAUACGGCUCCAUCCGACCCGUCUUGAAACACGGACCAAGGAGUCUAACAUGUGCGCGAGUCUCCGGGUGAUUGAAACCCGUGGGCACAAUGAAAGUAAAGAUCGUCCUAGACGAUUGAGGUGAGAAGCGAGUAUUUCGAUAUUUGCGGCAUCAUCGACCGACCUAUUCUGCUCUCAGAAAGGUUUGAGUAAGAGCGUAUCUGUUGGGACCCGAAAGAUGGUGAACUAUGCCUGAAUAGGGUGAAGCCAGCGG